CUCACACCUGUAAUCCCAGCACUUUGGGAGGCCAAGGUGGGAGGAUCACUUGAGGUCAUGAGUUUGAGACCAGUCUGGCCAACAUGGUGAAACUGUCUCUACUAAAAAUAUAAAAAUUAGCGAGACUUGGUGGUGCACGCCUGUAAUCUCAAUUACUAGGGAGCCUGAGGCAGGAGAAUCGCUUGAACCUGGGAGGCAGAGGUUGCAGUGAGCCAAGAUCGCACCACUGCACUCCAGCCUGGGCAAGAGAGUGAGACACUGCCUCCCAGAAAAAAAUAAAUAAAUAAAUAAAUAAAUAAAAGAGAGAGAAUGAAAAUCAAUAAGAUAUAUAAACUGUAAAAAGUAUAUUAGCUCUCAUAAGAGCAUUACCAGAACCCAAAUAUCAUUUCCAUCACACUUGCCCUGAGC
rnacentral:lncRNA from 1 species